AGAACGAACGCUGGCGGCAUGCCUAAUACAUGCAAGUCGAACGAACACUUCGGUGUUAGUGGCGCACGGGUGCGUAACGCGUGGGAAUCUGCCCUUGGGUUCGGAAUAACAGUUGGAAACGACUGCUAAUACCGGAUGAUAUCGAAAGAUCAAAGAUUUAUCGCCCAGGGAUGAGCCCGCGUAGGAUUAGCUAGUUGGUGAGGUAAAGGCUCACCAAGGCGACGAUCCUUAGCUGGUCUGAGAGGAUGAUCAGCCACACUGGGACUGAGACACGGCCCAGACUCCUACGGGAGCAGCAGUAGGGAAUAUUGGACAAGUGGGCGCAAGCCUGAUCCAGCAAUGCCGCGUGAGUGAUGAAGGCCUUAGGGUUAGUAAAGCUUCUUUACCGAGUAUAGAUAAUGACAGUAGUCGGAAGAAAUAACGCCCCGGACUAACUCCGU
rnacentral:rRNA from 1 species